CGCGCAGGCGGUCGUUCAAGUCGAGUGUGAAAGCCCCCGGCUCAACUGGGGAGGGUCACUCGAUACUGAUCGACUUGAAGGCAGGAGAGGGAAGCGGAAUUCCCGGUGUAGUGGUGAAAUGCGUAGAUAUCGGGAGGAACACCAGUGGCGAAGGCGGCUUCCUGGCCUGUUCUUGACGCUGAGGCGCGAAAGCUAGGGGAGCAAACG
rnacentral:rRNA from 1 species